UGUGGGUAUUGUAUGGCACAGUGCGCGUUCCAGUUAUAUUUCAAUGAAUGCAGUAAUCUUACGCGCCUCUCUAACCUCGCACUGUCGCGUUCCCGCGCGACAAGGAACAACCUGGAGUCACCGUUACUAUCACCAAAGAUGAAAUUUGAAUGCGAUUGUUGGCCAACCGUAGGCUCACUCGUUGUACAAGUGUCGUUGGAUGCGCCGAUUGGCUGACGGAUAGAGCAUUCCUAAGGUUCCUAACAUUUUUACAGGCACCCUAGAAAUUCUCUAUCCAACAACCAAUCCACGUGUCCGACGAGCUUGCCGUACGACAAAUCAAACGUUCCCCACAGUUCUUAAUUCACACGUCUUAUCAGUGAGAUUCGAUUACACGCGUUUAUGCAAUUGCAGUGUUCGUGAACUAGAACUUUACGCUAAGUUCCGCGAUUUAUGUCGGCUCUUUCAGAUAAGACUGACUUCCCUGCGUGUGUAAGUAUGUAAAUAGUUAAUUACUCGCGUAAUUGUGCGAGUCAAGGAUUCGAAUUGUCAAUGAAGAAUAUAAAAUGCUCGCAUGUACGUGCGGAUGAUUGUUUUAUAUUGAACAAAAACUGAUCCACCCCUGAGAUACAGGUAUGUGAUUGUGGUCUUGCGCGUAAAUAGAGGGAUGUAAGUAUAUGUCAAAAUAUCAAUCCCAGUAAAUACGAUAACAUCACGAGCGUCAAUAAUAUGUCAUUAAUACGUCCCAUGAAACGUUAUCAUGUUUGCUGGGAAUAUAAACAGCGAUGACCACAAUACACACGUAUGUACUUAGAAAAAAAAAUGUUUGUUGUUUGUAAUUAGUUUUAGCUUUAUGUUACACUUAUGUUCGAUUAUGUUUCAGCUCUUUAUUAUUCACGCUUAUGCAUUCUUCUAACAUCAACUAGAAGUAAGGAAAAAGUGUGUACUAGUCGCUAAAUGGAGAAUUCACGAGCUGAUCAAAACCUCGACUUAACGAACCGCGGACGUCUCAAGUCGUAAAUGCAAUUAGAUGGAAUUAAGGAGCCGCGUAAUACGUUUAACUCGUGGACGAGACAGGAAACGCCCGCGUUUUAAUAGUCAAACAGCCGACACGGAGCGUCGUGUUGGGAUAUUCAUUUAUGCGUCAAUGUGGCGUACACGCAGAUGCAUCGUGAGUCUUCUGUAAAUAUUUUACACGUGCAGGCCGACUUGGUUCCUCAAGCGAUAAGUUGCUCGUCGUCACGAUAAAAGAUUAAGGGAGUCGAAAAUAACUCUUAGAGGAACGAGGGAGAAGAAAUAUCAUGUUAGUACCAUGAAGUCUGACAAGAAAGCCGGUCAUGUUUCAUCCAGAAAAAUUAGGAAAACAAGAAGAAAUUAAGAAAGAGAAUUAUGAAAGAGUAAAAAACGAGAGAAGUGAAAGGAUAAGUUUCCACGGAUAAGUCUCGAUUCUUUGGACAUCAUAAAACAAUUUUUGCUUUCGUCCGCCUAGAUCAGUCAUUACGCCCACGGCAACACACAUGAACUUCCACGAAGCACGAAUAUCGGGGAUACGUCGUCUCUACCAUGUUCGACUCCAACGCGGAAUUAAAUGUUAACUGGUCUACCGACAAGAUAUUCUCGAAUUGGACGCGUUGAUUCGAUCGAUUUAGUUAAGAAUUAUUAACACUUAGGAGCGCCUUUAUUUUCUUUGAUUCUCAGUUUCUGCUUCGUCAAUUUGAAACUGUAUGUAUUAAUUAAUGUUUCGUACUUUUUUUCUAGGAACGAUAAGAAUACAUAUAUGUUAUAUUGGAGCGAGCAAAAUCCUAGAAACGAUAUACUCUGGCAGAGUGUUUCUUUAUCAGACUGAGAUUUGAACUUUGGGGACGAUUGCGACACAAUCGUGGCAUAAGAAGAGGUCAUACAAUUGAACUUAUUUGAAGCAACUCUAUUAUCGGUAUACAAGACGUCGUUCCUAUUGCGAACUGUUUCUAAUAAUAGAAAAUUGCAAAUCUGACGCACUAAAGUCGUGCGAUUUUUCAUGUACGAAAUGAUUUUUCUUUCAAGAUGACGAUAAAGUUAAGAACUAACUUUCAAGACGACGAUAAAGUUAAGAACUUACAACCGCUAAAUUGUUUAUUUAACAAUAUCUGUGAAAAUGGAUGAGAGAGAGAGAGAGAGAGAAAGAGAGAGGCGAAUAAUAUUUGUUCUUAAUUCACAGUAAUUAGCGAUAACGAACAAAGAACACUGGAUUUCCGUUCCAGAAAAGACACAAUUUCCGAGAAAUACGUAUGACAGAAGAUAAUUCAGAUACGCCCACCGCGCUAAUAUAUCUAACGUAUGCAGUUCUGUUAAAAAGUCUGACUCAUGCAAACGCUAUGCAAAAAUUAAUAUGAGAGGCAUUCAUUCCUCGUGUUAAAACCGCGUCACUUUUAUUUCAAUCAAUUUAUUUCACGCGACAAUCGUCGGCACAAUAAUUUGGCGGGAAACUAUUUCUAAGUUGAAACAAGAAGAUUUUGUCAAUAGCGAAGGGACUGCUACGAAACGAGAAGGAUCGCAAAAAAUUGACAAUGAAAAGGAGCUUUUCUGUCCCGAGUUUUGUAUUCUGACUGUAUAAACGGCCAGUGCCUGGCGAUCUAUUUAUUUCUAUGCGUACCUGCGAUUACAAUUCCUUGUGGCUCUUCCGCGUACCCCAGGUAGCUGUUUAUCCUACAUUUAUGCUAUUUAAUUAAUAAUUAAUUUAAUUUAUUUCACGCGACAAUCGUCGGCACAAUAAUUUGGCGGGAACUAUUUCCAAGUUGAAGCAAGAUUUUGUCAAUAGCGAAGGGACUGCUACAAAACGAGAAGAGUCACAAGAAAUUGAUAAUGAAAAGGGGCUUUUCUGUCCCGAGUCGCGGUUAUUCGUGUGUCAACGUGUAAGAAAAAUCGCUGAAUUUGUUCGCAUGAAAGAUAAGAUAUCCACCCGCGCAUCCACCCCUCGCGACUGCUAAUUAAUUAAUUUUGCAAUCGAAACUUCGAAUAUUCUUAAAAUUUAUGUCAAUCAUUGAAGACACUCAGAUUUGAAUUUAGGGUUGAAUUGGGUUAGAUCUAAAUUACUCAGUUGAAUCGCAUGAUGUAUGUAACAUUGCACUUGUAAUUGCGAUUUAACUGGAAAACUCUGACUCCAAAUUCAAAUAAGUUGUUACUCAUAUGCGGAAAAAACAAUUUCAUUAGUAUAACUGAAUUUUCCGCUGCCUGAUAAAAAUAAGAACUAGAUGGAAAAAUUUCAUUUUGUACACUGUACAUUGUAUACUAAGAAAAAAUACUUGAAAAUUUAUUUGUGAUAUAAAGUUUGCUUCUGUGAAAUGAGUUUAUUGUGUUUAGUAAAGUUUAUUUCUGCAAAUAAACUUUAUAUUCCACAGACAAAUUUUCAGAUGUUUUUCUCAGUGAAAAAACAGAUAAUAAAUAAAUAGAGUAGGUUUCUACACUAAGAAACAAAUAUAUUUGGAAAUUUAUUUUUUGGAUAAGAGUUUAUUUCUCGCAGAAAAAUAUACCUAAGAAGUUUAUUUCGCGGAAAUAAACUUUACAUCUCACAAGUAAACUUUCAAGUAUUUCUUUCUAAGUGUACUCAGCCAAUUGUUCUAACUUGUUGCAAGCAAAGUUUAAUACAGCUAUACAUUCAGACAAAUGUUUUCGGCUGCGGAUUGCUGAGAGACGUCAUUUCUCGUCGCCGAAUUUCCAUCUAGUCCUUAUUCGGUUGCAGAAACUGAGAUACCUUUCGCCGCGCAACACAAGUCACCUAUAUUCGAAGGUGCUGAUAAAAUCAUUCUUUAAAAAAUUAUUUACAUUAUUGCACAUUGAUCGGCAACGAUAACGGUGUCCCAAGAGUUCCAAGUCAAAAGUCGCAAGUUAAAAUAACGAUGCUUGACGAGCUGUGCAAUAAAAAGAUCGCAAGUUGACCGUACCUCGCGU